rnacentral:rRNA from 1 species
UACGUAGGGUGCAAGCGUUGUCCGGAAUUAUUGGGCGUAAAGAGCUCGUAGGCGGUCUGUCACGUCGGAUGUGAAAAUCCAGGGCUCAACCCUGGACCUGCAUUCGAUACGGGCAGACUAGAAUUCGGUAGGGGAGUCUGGAAUUCCCGGUAUAGCGGUGAAAUGCGUAGAUAUCGGGAGGAACACCUGUGGCGAAGGCGGCCCCCUGGUUGGAUACUGACGCUGAUACGCGAAAGCGUGGGGAGCAAACAGG